GCACUCUUAAGCAGAAGAUAUCGAACAUGACUUCUGUCUGAUGCCCCUUCUUUCGUAAUGAUGGGGUCACGUGUUCGAGUCACGUAAGCGGCACCA
rnacentral:tRNA from 1 species